rnacentral:lncRNA from 1 species
AUGGGCAUGUGUCCUAGGGGGAAGUCGGUAAGGGGACUUCUCAGAUUCAACUCGGAAAUCCUCUGCAUCUCCAGGUUCUUCACCCUGUGGACUGGGAGACACGCCAGCCUCCUUUUCCAUCUAAGAAAUUGCGGCAGCUGUGACUACUCAGGGCAGAAAUGUUUGGAUACAAGCUGGCAUGGAUCAUCCGGAAAGAUCUAGAGAGAUUCACCGCAACAGCAAGGAAAUGCCAGUUCCUUCCUGUAAGCUUUGCCUCAUGAGUCAAGGUGACAACUCUGUUGUGGGAAUAUGCAGUUAUCUUGACCACAUGUGUUGUGUAUGUAAGUGUAUGGCUCAGAGACAACCAUACUAGACAAUAGAGAUGGCUCCCAUCUGGUGAGCACUGACCAUAUGCCAGGCACUGUGCCAGGCUCAUGUGCCUCCUUAACCUACACAAUAGCCCUGUGGGUGGGUACUCCAUGACUCCUGCCAGCAGAGGCUCUGAGAAGCUGAGGAGCUUUCUCAAGGCUCCACAGUUCCUAGUGGGGCUGUAACUUAAAUCUAGAGCAUGGCACAGAACCUGUGACCUUCCACUCCAGCUUGCCACCCCAAAUUCCUCCUGCUCACGCCAUCCUUCUCACAGAUUCACACAACUUCACUUCUGUGACUUGAUAGUCCUUGGGUACAUAGCCCUAUGAGGCUCAUUGCAUCUUUGCUAUAUGCCUAGAAGUUUGAGCCCUGUUGGCUGAAAGACCACAGAGGAAGUAGCUAGAGAUAGGAUUAAGGUUUUCCAAACUGCUGUCAAUUCCAUGUGACAGUGGAGAAAGCUGAGGCUCCAGGGAUAAAGGGUGGGGUUCAUACAGAUCCCAGGAACACCCCAAGUGUGUCGUCUCUUCCCCUUAAACUGGGGUCCUAGAUUUCUGUGACCUUUCUUUCUAGGAUUUGCAUCACCUGGAGAGGCAUAGGAGAUGAGGGGCUAAGUAAGCUGCUGCUGAGCCCUUGGCAGAGACCUAGGAAGUACAGGGCAGAGAAGACCUCUAAGAAAAAAGGAGGCAGCCAGGGCUUUAUGUGUCCUGAAUUCAGGGCCAGAGGGCCAGGGGUCAGAUUGGUUCCCAGCUCUCUAGAGGCUGGCCCUGCUCUUGGCCCCUAGCCCAGCUUGGUUCAGCCAAGGCACAAGGUCACUGAGGCUCUGCUGUGUUAUUCCUUCUCGAUAAUUCUCUGG